CGGGUACCGCUUUCACUUCGUGACAGUUAUUGAGAUUUGAGAGCUGCUAUACUUCUUAGUCUUCGUCUACAGACCGAAACAUUGGAUUCGACCUGCAAUUUUGCAACCAACUUCGUCUUUUGUGAAUACCGAACAAGUGCUAAAACUCUUCAUUAUCGUCGACAUCACAAAAUCAACAGUACAUCAGAUUUUGCGAGAUACUGAACUUCUAGACUAUCUUUGAAGCGUUGCAGAAGCUCAAGACUAGUGAGGUGAUGAUUUUGUUACACCCUUUUUGUCUAGAAUAUUUUGUUUGCACAAUAUCACUUUUUUGUACAUGUGUACCCGUGUAUUUUUUGUGUGUGUGUAUGACAGGUUCACUUGAAGAUGAAGACGAAGGCGGGGAUUCCGUCGUGAUGGGCCACAUGUCUUUAGCACUGUGAGCCUGUCAGGGGUGUUAUUCAUAUGUCUUUAGCACUGCGACACUGACACCUCCAGACAGUCCCUUGAAGACGAAGACGAAGACGAAGGCGGGGAUUCCGUCGUGAUGGGCCACAUGUCUUUAGCACUGUGAGCCUGUCAGGGGUGUUAUUCAUAUGUCUUUAGCACUGCGACACUGACACCUCCAGACAGUCCCUUGAAGACGAAGACGAAGGCAGGGAUUCCGUCGUGAUGGGCCACAUGUCUUUAGCACUGUGAGCCUGUCAGGGGUGUUAUUCAUAUGUCUUUAGCACUGCGACACUGACACCUCCAGACAGUCCCUUGAAGACGAAGACGAAGGCAGGGAUUCCGUCGUGAUGGGCCACAUGUCUUUAGCACUGUGAGCCUGUCAGGGUGUUAUUCAUAUGUCUUUAGCACUGCGACACUGACACCUCCAGACA